rnacentral:lncRNA from 1 species
GCCCCUCCCAUCAUUAUAUAUUCUACAUGUAACAGAUGAAAUUACAAACCUCUCCCUUACUGUCAAGUGUAUGCCACCAAUGAUACUGAAGCUAUGAAUAUACAGAUUAUGAAGUCUAAAUUUUGACUAUAUGUAAUUCCUACAACAGAUGUAGAGCCAGCACAGCUAUGAUUACUCAAAGUAGGCAAUUGAAUAGUCCUCCCUAUAGAAAUAUCAAUUCACAUACUAAUUUCAUCAAAUGUUUUACAUUCAUGAGCUAUAUCAUAAUUAGGCCUGAAAAGAGACCCAAUUCCAGGAUGUUUAAACAAAACAAACUUAACAUCUACACAACCAAGACUUUACGACGGCCAAUGCACAGAAAUCUGCGGGUCUAACCAUAGCUUUAUACCCAUUAUUCUUGAAAUAGUAUGCCUAAAACACU